GUGGACAUGUGAAGGGUUUUGCACAUUUGUAGAUUGCUUCCUGUCAGCUUGUUGGCCACAUGAAGUUUGUGACUUCCCUCCUGUUUAUUUGUGGAAUCGUACCGCAGCAGAUCUGAAAAAAGGAAACUGUAAAUUGAGGUGCAGUUACUAGCUACACCAACAGGUGGCGAGAUUCCCUCACAUGAGCUGAGGGAACUACAGUCUGUGAGCUGAUGGAAGAAGGCUGAACAAGAACCAUCGUACAACAGGAGAAAACCAGCUGGCUUCUACCAGGAGGAGAAAGACGGGGUGGAGCAUCUUUAUUUAACCCAACGGUCAUGAUUCAGCAUCGGGUUCGUCAUUGUCAUCUCCAGCAGCACCUUGGCCUCAUCUCUCCUGUCCUGUUACCAUCACUGGACUCCAAGCCACCAUCAACACUGCAUUCUACUGCUGCUGGACGACGCUGGACUCUUCUCUGAUUUUCAUCUCCAUCUAAACUUUUCUGUACAAGUGUAUAAUUUACUUUUGAAUAGUUUAUCACAAUGUAUUUGUUUUACAUUUAUAUUUAAAUAAAUACUUUUUUACUUACUUACAUACUUUUGAGAAUUGUGUCAUGUAAUAAACAGUCUUGUAUGAACAA